rnacentral:misc_RNA from 1 species
GUCCCAAAACGUGUGGCUUUAGCCUUCUAGUGACCCUUGCAUCUUGAACACUUCACUAACAUAACGUGUUUAAAUGAUAGAGCAACAAUACACGAUAAGGAUAAGCACAUUUGACUGUUUCUGCUACUAUUUGCCUCCUGCGGCUCCCUUUGAUUUCAAUAUUCAAAGGCCCACUGCAAAGCAGCUGGUUUCGAUUUUGAUUGUCAUACUUGCACAUAAAGCCCAAUCUUGCAUUCAUUACAUCAACCAAAAAACUUCAUCAACCUAACCUUCAAACCUCUCUUUUGUAUUGAGUUGUCAAUGGUACUCUUGGUAGAAAGGCUUAGCAAAUUAUACUCCAAGCUGGAGAAUCACCACAACCACCCUCAGCCUGAAGCAUUAUCAGCUUCUUUACAGGCUUUUCGAUCUGAUGUUUCGAGUUUUAUAACCCAGUUGUUAAAUUCGGAUCCUGGCUUGGAAACCCUGUCCCUGGAAUGGAUUCAGAAAUGUUUUCAGAUCCUACCCAUGAUCAAUAAAGCUUUUGCAAAGCUAGUUGUGGAGAUUGACUACCAUGUCAGGAAAUGGAAGGCCAAGACAAUGGAAGAAUAUCUCAAGUAUAGUUUAGACUUGCUCGAUCUUCUCAACUCCUUUAGUUCUGCUCUUUCUCAUCUGGGUCAAGCUCGUCUUUCUUUAUCUCAUGCUCUGAGUCUUGUUGAGAGUUCACCUUCAUCGGCGGUGGAGCGUCUGAAGACGAUUGAGUUCAUGAGUUUUACAAAGGAGUUCAAAGAUCAAGAAAACAAGAUAGAUGAGUCGAAAGAAAUAUCUUGGUCAGACAAGGAAUGGGUUAUUCUUCAAGCUUUGAUGGAAUUAAGGAGUACAGGAUUCUGGGUAUGCAGUAUUGUGUUGGCUGGUUUGUGUGGAGAUGAUAGAGCGUACUUGGCGAUGAGAAAAUCAUCUGGGGCAUUAUCUAACCCUACUUUGAUCAAUUUGGAUUCAAGUGUCUGUGGAGUUGUAAUAGGGGAAGGAUGUGUGCUGAAGGAGGUCAGAGAGUUGAAAGAUUCAGCUGAUUGCCUUGUAGAGGCCAUCGCUGGCGAAAGCAGCAGUGACGCGGCAGCAGAGGAGAUGCGGAGAAAAUUGGAAGAGUUUGAGAAGCUGCUGGAUGGCUUAGGCAAGGAGGUGGAUCGUCUCUUCUUUGAGUUGUUGGCUGGGAGAAAUGAAUUGCUUGAUUGUAUUAGACUUCAGAAACCAUAGAAACAAGAUCAUGGGUUUCUACUUUGGAUUUGUUUUUAAGCUCUGUAUAUAGAUUGUAUAUUUAAAUUGUAUAAUUUUUUCAUUAUAGGAUAAUUUGUUCUUCUGAAAAGCUCAUAUUGAAAAUAUAAAUAUUUGAUUGAAUCUGUGAAAAUUUGCCU